ensembl:lncRNA
UGGCUACCUACAUACAAGUUCUUUGUAAAGGCUUAUAUUAUCACCACCAUUAUCCCAAACUAUUUAUUCAGUCCCUGUCUACCUGCAGAGUUUUGCAAGCUAAUGUCCUAAGCAAAUUGACAGAAGCCACUUCCUACCCUCUGGGAACUUAUAAUGUAAGCUAGACAGUAUUUGAGUGGGAAGACAGAAACACAUGGACAACCACCCAAACUUUGAGGAAGUGGAUGAAUUAAAUUAAUAAUUAACACAUUCACAUUGCCUCCCAGCAGAAGAACAAAUACCGAAUUUGGGAGUUGCUCUUACAUUUUCAAAUGGCCUGAGACCAAGAGGUAUUCAUUCUCUGCCUCUGUCUCUGUCUCUCUUCAAAUGUUACAAGCAAAUAAUGAUUUUUCUUUUAGGGCAACCAUCCCAAGGAGCCUUCCUUUCUCAAGUUCUCUCAAAUACACAACACCACAUCCUGCAAAACGGCCUACAAGAAAAAGUAAGUAUGAAAGGACGUGUGGAGAAAACAAGGUGGCAAUUCCAUUUUCUAUUGGGUUAUACAGCAGAUCACCUCAUCCACGACAGUCAUGUAGUUUCCCUGCUGUCCAGAUAUCACUCUAGUCUCUCUCCCUCUGUUCAGAGCAACCGUUGCUGCUGGAGAGAGACAAGAGGCUUGUUUGCAAAGGACCAAUAUCAUGUCUAGGAAAGAGACAUGCCACUUCCUAAGAGAAACCAUGGGGACUCUAGGAAGGUUUAAGGGUCCUGACAGCUACCAGAUGUCCAAAGUCCACCCUGACCUCAUGCCAGGAAGCUAACGAUGUCUUUGCAGACUGUAACAGCUUCUUGGUAGUGGAUGCUCAGCCUCUCUCCUGGGGAAUUCCCUGACAGAUUGGCCAGGAUGCCCAGGUCUGCUCUGCUCUCAAGAUUGUCCAGACAAGGCAACAUCUAAUAGUGGAAAGAGAAUGUCAGACUUGGAGCCCAUCUCCACCAUGUCUGUGCCAUGUGACUACGUAGACUCUCGAAGCCUCAGUUAGAAAUCUGGGAAUACUGAUACUCAUACUACCUACCACCCAAGACUGUUGGGAGGAAAUCAUUUUGUAAACUUUAACACUCCCUAUAAAUGUAAGCUAUUGUUGCUUGAAGUUGGGACUGGGAUCAGGAAAUGUCAAGUGGCCUCAUGUUAUGAGCCCUAAAUCCUGGGGCAGGAAAGAGAAGGAGGGACAAGGGAGCAGCAUCCACUCUGACAUCUCUAUGUACCCAUCCCCCUACACACGCCUGAUAGAAACACAUAAGACAUCCUUACACAAUGACAGAUGCUGGUGCCCAAAGCUUAGCUUUUAUCUUUAUAGGGAUGUAUAGCCAUCAAAUUUCAUAAUGGUAGUCAGUGGGAAAAGAGAAUUCUUAUUUAUCCAAUUUUACUUUACCCACAACUUUUUAGGAAUAUAUCUGUUUCAUAUUGCUUUCUGUAUGGCCAGUCUAAAAACCUCAGUGUAGCUCUGCCCUAUGUUGCCUCUGGAAUUUAGAAAACAAGAUAUCUUUAAUUCCCUAGGUCUGGUAAGGGUAGAUUCCUACAAAUAUCUGGCUUUCUCCAUGCACUUUUCAGAUUUACCUCUAGGAAUGUUCCUCUCAGGGUACAGCUAUACAAGACAAACAUACUGUCGCACACGGUUCUUCCAGCAGCACAGCAGAUGAUAAAAUACCCAACCACCUGGCCCUGUUCUAGGUCACUAAUGAUAGCUGCUAUGUGCCAAUUUAAGAUUUACAUGGUGCUUCCAUCCAUUAGCUCAUUUGGUCCUUACAAGCACCCUGUGAAGUCUAUACUAUAAAUGGUGUCAUCCAAUUUUUACAGGUGAAGAAACUGGGGCCUGGGGAGGUGAACUAAUUUUCCCAUGGUAAUGCAGCUGGUAAAUGUUGGAGGAAGGAUUCAGACCCAGGUAUCCUGACUCCAAGGAGACCUUCCACAGAUGGCUAGUGUGGCCUAGUCUCUCCUCUUCUCUGGACCUCAGUUUCCUCUUUUAUAAAAUGAGAGGGCUAGGUAAAAUGAUUUUUAAGAUUCCUUCCAGUGCUAAUGUUGAGAGCCUAUGAGAACAAGGUUCAGAUUUCCCUGCAAUACAAGCCCUGACCGUGGUACCUGUGGGAGUGAUGGGAUUUCUUGAAGUAUCUAUCUACUACCACAUUUUAGGCAGUAAUUCAUUUCCUCUUGUAGCAAAAAGUCACCAUGCAUGGGUUUCGAUUCUUUCUUGAAGCUUAUCUCUCUCCUAUCAUCCACAGUCAAAGUAAGCCACAGACAGUAAGAUGCUCUCAGGCACCCACUCUCCCCACUGUUAUUUGACUAGAAAUGCUAGCAAAGGCAAUAAAGUAAAAGAAAGAAAUAAAAG